rnacentral:rRNA from 1 species
CCUACGGGUGGCAGCAGUGGGGAAUAUUGCACAAUGGGGGAAACCCUGAUGCAGCGACGCCGCGUGAAGGAAGAAGUAUCUCGGUAUGUAAACUUCUAUCAGCAGGGAAGAAAAUGACGGUACCUGACUAAGAAGCCCCGGCUAACUACGUGCCAGCAGCCGCGGUAAUACGUAGGGGGCAAGCGUUAUCCGGAUUUACUGGGUGUAAAGGGAGCGUAGGCGGUUUAGCAAGUCAGAAGUGAAAGCCCGGGGCUCAACUCCGGGACUGGUUUUGAAACUGUUGAACUAGAGUGCAGGAGAGGUAAGUGGAAUUCCUAGUGUAGCGGUGAAAUGCGUAGAUAUUAGGAGGAACACCAGUGGCGAAGGCGGCUUACUGGACUGUAAAUGACGGUGAGGCGCGAAAGCGUGGGGAGCAAACAGGAUUAGAUACCCCAGUAGUC